UCUGCCUCUUGGCUCGGAGACUUUGCCCCCGCUUUGUCGGUCGUGCUGGCCCUGCUUGCGGAGGGCUUGGAGCCACCGGGACUGAUGUCCCCCUCUCCUCCUCCCCAGGAGUCAAGCGCAGUGCGGGUUCUCUCUAUUCGCCUCCUCCUCGACACGCUGGGCUUUGUGGAGGGCAGCGAAAAGAAGAAGAUGCAGAAGGAGGUGUGCAGGAGCCUUGUCCCGCUGUCCUUCCACCUGCACGACCAGGACGAGAGCGUGGCCGAGGCCUCCCGCGAAGCCCUCCUUGGUGUCGCGCGGUUCCUGCGCUGGAGGCAGCUGGCGCACCUGGCCGAGACGGUGCAGACGUGUAAGAUCGGCGAGUGCCUGCUGGCCAGGAGGAGGAGCGGAGCAGAGGAGUACCUGGGCCAGAGCCUGCCCUACCUGCAGAGCCUGCAGGAGCCCCUGCGGCGGGAGGCUGUGAGGUUCAUUGGGCUCGUGGGGAGGCACCUGGUGGAUCAGCGCGAGAACAAGAGCCAGUACAUCUGCGAAGUCCUUCACGGCUUGAGGCAAGACCCCUGCGAGUCGGUCUCUUCGCUGGCACUUCAGACACUGCUGAUCCUGCAAGCAGCAAGGCCACGCUCGCGGUUCAGCUUUCGGCAGCUGUGCUCCAGGCUGCAGAAGGCGUGGAGGAGGCGACGCUCUUCCCCGGCAGGCAGCUGAGGGUGCUGGAAAGCUCCCGGCAUCUCCUCCUGCCUGCGGCGCAGCCCCGCUCCCCGGGCACACUCCCUCCACUUCUCCGUCCUUCUACGUGCUGGUGGCACGCCCGAACCAGCUCACGAACCCCAUGAACAACAGGGCUUCAGCCGUCGCCUCUCCAGCAGCGAGCCUGGUCUAAGACCCCCGCUCAGACCUGAGACCCCCGCUUAGGCCUGGGACACUGCCAGGGAUGGGACAGCCGCAGCUCCGCUGGGCCACCCGCCCCAGGGCCGCACCGCCCUCAGCGCGGAAAGUGUCCUCCUUGCUGAUGAAAGUGUCAUCAGAGCUGGCCAUCAGCAUCCUCAUCUACACGACGGCUGUGCCUCCCCAGCCCCGGGGGCACUGUGCAGCCCUCCCUGGAGCGGAGCUCUCCGCACACGCCCCACGCCUGGUGGCCUCGCUGCUUUUCCCUCUCUCUGUCCUUUCGCGUGGUCUUUCCCUUUUUUCUUUUUUUUUCUUCUUUUUCGUCCUUUUUUUCUUUUUUAUUUUUUUUCUUUUCCUUUUCCUUUUUAUUUUUUCCCCGCUCCCUUUUCCCUUUAAUUAAAUCAUCCUUAUCUCAAACCUCGAGCUCUUUGUGUCGUAUUUUCUCCCCCUUCCUCUUUGAGGAGGGGGAGUGAGAGAGCGGCCGUGGUGGAACUCGGCUGCCCGCCUGAGGAAAACCACCACAGUGUGACAGCAGGGGCGUGCUGGAGUGCUGCCUUUCUCCAUUUCACCAUGUGCCCGGAGGAAGGAUCUGCCCCCUCUGACUCUGGCCAGCAGCGAGCGUCCUUUUGGGAUGCUGCCAGGCUGCACGACG
rnacentral:lncRNA from 1 species